rnacentral:rRNA from 1 species
GGUUAAGCGACUAAGCGUACACGGUGGAUGCCCGGCAGUCAGAGGCGAUGAAGGACGUGCUAAUCUGCGAUAAGCGUCGGUAAGGUGAUAUGAACCGUUAUAACCGGCGAUUUCCGAAUGGGGAAAACCAGUGUGAUUCGUCACACUAUCAUUAACUGAAUCCAUAGGUUAAUGAGGCGAACCGGGGGAACUGAAACAUCUAAGUACCCCGAGGAAAAGAAAUCAACCGAGAUUCCCCCCAGUAGCGGCGAGCGAACGGGGAGGAGCCCAGAGCCUGAAUCAGUGUGUGUGUUAGUGGAAGCGUCUGGAAAGGCGCGCGAUACAGGGUGACAGCCCCGUACACAAAAAUGCACAUGCUGUGAGCUCGAUGAGUAGGGCGGGACACGUGGUAUCCUGUCUGAAUAUGGGGGGACCAUCCUCCAAGGCUAAAUACUCCUGACUGACCGAUAGUGAACCAGUACCGUGAGGGAAAGGCGAAAAGAACCCCGGCGAGGGGAGUGAAAAAGAACCUGAAACCGUGUACGUACAAGCAGUGGGAGCACAGAGCAAUCUGUGUGACUGCGUACCUUUUGUAUAAUGGGUCAGCGACUUAUAUUCUGUAGCAAGGUUAACCGAAUAGGGGAGCCGAAGGGAAACCGAGUCUUAACCGGGCGUUAAGUUGCAGGGUAUAGACCCGAAACCCGGUGAUCUAGCCAUGGGCAGGUUGAAGGUUGGGUAACACUAACUGGAGGACCGAACCGACUAAUGUUGAAAAAUUAGCGGAUGACUUGUGGCUGGGGGUGAAAGGCCAAUCAAACCGGGAGAUAGCUGGUUCUCCCCGAAAGCUAUUUAGGUAGCGCCUCGUGAAUUCAUCUCCGGGGGUAGAGCACUGUUUCGGCAAGGGGGUCAUCCCGACUUACCAACCCGAUGCAAACUGCGAAUACCGGAGAAUGUUAUCACGGGAGACACACGGCGGGUGCUAACGUCCGUCGUGAAGAGGGAAACAACCCAGACCGCCAGCUAAGGUCCCAAAGUCAUGGUUAAGUGGGAAACGAUGUGGGAAGGCCCAGACAGCCAGGAUGUUGGCUUAGAAGCAGCCAUCAUUUAAAGAAAGCGUAAUAGCUCACUGGUCGAGUCGGCCUGCGCGGAAGAUGUAACGGGGCUAAACCAUGCACCGAAGCUGCGGCAGCGACACUGUGUGUUGUUGGGUAGGGGAGCGUUCUGUAAGCCUGUGAAGGUGUGCUGUGAGGCAUGCUGGAGGUAUCAGAAGUGCGAAUGCUGACAUAAGUAACGAUAAAGCGGGUGAAAAGCCCGCUCGCCGGAAGACCAAGGGUUCCUGUCCAACGUUAAUCGGGGCAGGGUGAGUCGACCCCUAAGGCGAGGCCGAAAGGCGUAGUCGAUGGGAAACAGGUUAAUAUUCCUGUACUUGGUGUUACUGCGAAGGGGGGACGGAGAAGGCUAUGUUGGCCGGGCGACGGUUGUCCCGGUUUAAGCGUGUAGGCUGGUUUUCCAGGCAAAUCCGGAAAAUCAAGGCUGAGGCGUGAUGACGAGGCACUACGGUGCUGAAGCAACAAAUGCCCUGCUUCCAGGAAAAGCCUCUAAGCAUCAGGUAACAUCAAAUCGUACCCCAAACCGACACAGGUGGUCAGGUAGAGAAUACCAAGGCGCUUGAGAGAACUCGGGUGAAGGAACUAGGCAAAAUGGUGCCGUAACUUCGGGAGAAGGCACGCUGAUAUGUAGGUGAAGUCCCUCGCGGAUGGAGCUGAAAUCAGUCGAAGAUACCAGCUGGCUGCAACUGUUUAUUAAAAACACAGCACUGUGCAAACACGAAAGUGGACGUAUACGGUGUGACGCCUGCCCGGUGCCGGAAGGUUAAUUGAUGGGGUCAGCGCAAGCGAAGCUCUUGAUCGAAGCCCCGGUAAACGGCGGCCGUAACUAUAACGGUCCUAAGGUAGCGAAAUUCCUUGUCGGGUAAGUUCCGACCUGCACGAAUGGCGUAAUGAUGGCCAGGCUGUCUCCACCCGAGACUCAGUGAAAUUGAACUCGCUGUGAAGAUGCAGUGUACCCGCGGCAAGACGGAAAGACCCCGUGAACCUUUACUAUAGCUUGACACUGAACAUUGAGCCUUGAUGUGUAGGAUAGGUGGGAGGCUUUGAAGUGUGGACGCCAGUCUGCAUGGAGCCGACCUUGAAAUACCACCCUUUAAUGUUUGAUGUUCUAACGUGGACCCGUGAUCCGGGUUGCGGACAGUGUCUGGUGGGUAGUUUGACUGGGGCGGUCUCCUCCUAAAGAGUAACGGAGGAGCACGAAGGUUGGCUAAUCCCCGGUCGGACAUCAGGAGGUUAGUGCAAUGGCAUAAGCCAGCUUGACUGCGAGCGUGACGGCGCGAGCAGGUGCGAAAGCAGGUCAUAGUGAUCCGGUGGUUCUGAAUGGAAGGGCCAUCGCUCAACGGAUAAAAGGUACUCCGGGGAUAACAGGCUGAUACCGCCCAAGAGUUCAUAUCGACGGCGGUGUUUGGCACCUCGAUGUCGGCUCAUCACAUCCUCGGGGCUGAAGUAGGUCCCAAGGGUAUGGCUGUUCGCCAUUUAAAGUGGUACGCGAGCUGGGUUUAGAACGUCGUGAGACAGUUCGGUCCCUAUCUGCCGUGGGCGCUGGAGAACUGAGGGGGCUGCUCCUAGUACGAGAGGACCGGAGUGGACGCAUCACUGGUGUUCGGGUUGUCAUGCCAAUGGCACUGCCCGGUAGCUAAAUGCGGAAGAGAUAAGUGCUGAAAGCAUCUAAGCACGAAACUUGCCCCGAGAUGAGUUCUCCCUGACCCUUUAAGGGUCCUGAAGGAACGUUGAAGACGACGACGUUGAUAGGCCGGGUGUGUAAGCGCAGCGAUGCGUUGAGCUAACCGGUACUAAUGAACCGUGAGGCUUAACCUU